CCUACGGGAGGCAGCAGUGAGGAAUAUUGGUCAAUGGGCGCGAGCCUGAACCAGCCAAGUCGCGUGAGGGAUGACGGUCCUACGGAUUGUAAACCUCUUUUGCCGGGGAGCAAGCGUGCGUUCGUGAACGCGCGUCGAGAGUACCCGGAGAAAAAGCAUCGGCUAACUCCGUGCCAGCAGCCGCGGUAAUACGGAGGAUGCGAGCGUUAUCCGGAUUUGUUGGGUUUAAAGGGUGCGUAGGCGGGAUGCCAAGUCAGCGGUAAAAAUGCGGUGCUCAACGCCGUCGAGCCGUUGAAACUGGCGGUCUUGAGUGGGCGGAAAGUAUGCGGAAGGCGUGGGGUAGGGGUGAAAUGCAGAGAUAUCACGAAGAACGCCGAUUGCGAAGGCAGCAUAAGGGCGCGCUACUGACGCUGAGGCACGAAGGCGGGGGUAUCGAACAGGAUUAGAUACCCCUGUAGUC
rnacentral:rRNA from 1 species